rnacentral:rRNA from 1 species
UACGUAGGGUGCUAGCGUUGUCCGGAAUUAUUGGGCGUAAAGAGCUUGUAGGCGGUUUGUCGCGUCUGCUGUGAAAAUCCGGGGCUCAACCCCGGACUUGCAGUGGGUACGGGCAGACUAGAGUGUGGUAGGGGAGACUGGAAUUCCUGGUGUAGCGGUGAAAUGCGCAGAUAUCAGGAGGAACACCGAUGGCGAAGGCAGGUCUCUGGGCCACUACUGACGCUGAGAAGCGAAAGCAUGGGGAGCGAACAGG